GAUGAACGCUGGCGGCGUGCCUAAUACAUGCAAGUCGAGCGAACAGACGAGGAGCUUGCUCCUCUGACGUUAGCGGCGGACGGGUGAGUAACACGUGGAUAACCUACCUAUAAGACUGGGAUAACUUCGGGAAACCGGAGCUAAUACCGGAUAAUAUAUUGAACCGCAUGGUUCAAUAGUGAAAGACGGUUUUGCUGUCACUUAUAGAUGGAUCCGCGCCGCAUUAGCUAGUUGGUAAGGUAACGGCUUACCAAGGCAACGAUGCGUAGCCGACCUGAGAGGAUGAUCGGCCACACUGGAACUGAGACACGGGCCAGACUCCUACGGGAGGCAGCAGUGGGGAAUAUGGGGCAAUGGUCGAAAGCAUUAUCCAGCCAUACCGCGUGAGUUAAGAAGUCCUUCGGGUCGUAAAGCCCUUUUGCUGGCAAAGAAAAGAAGCAGGUUAAGACACAGGGGUCCUGACGCUACCCAAAGAAUAAGCACCGCCUAACUUGGUG
rnacentral:rRNA from 1 species